UAGUGCAAAUAUCUUAGUGCACUUGAAAUAAAACAAAAUAAACUUAACUUUUUAGCAGGAUGUGGGAGCUUGUUUUAAGUAAAUAAUUCCUUAAUAUUGAUGAAAAAGUUCUGGUUCCACUGGCAGAUAAUUUAACUUAUAAGAUCAUAAAUGAUA